rnacentral:rRNA from 1 species
AGUGAACGCUGGCGGUAGGCCUAACACAUGCAAGUCGAACGGCAGCACAGUAAGAGCUUGCUCUUACGGGUGGCGAGUGGCGGACGGGUGAGGAAUACAUCGGAAUCUACUUUUUCGUGGGGGAUAACGUAGGGAAACUUACGCUAAUACCGCAUACGACCUACGGGUGAAAGCAGGGGAUCUUCGGACCUUGCGCGAUUGAAUGAGCCGAUGUCGGAUUAGCUAGUUGGCGGGGUAAAGGCCCACCAAGGCGACGAUCCGUAGCUGGUCUGAGAGGAUGGUCGGCCGCACUGGAGCGGAGACACGGUCCAGACUCCUACGGGAGGCAGCAGUGGGGAAUAUUGGACAAUGGGCGCAAGCCUGAUCCAGCCAUACCGCGUGGGUGAAGAAGGCCUUCGGGUUGUAAAGCCCUUUUGUUGGGAAAGAAAAGCAGCAGGUUAAUACCCCGCUGUUCUGACGGUACCCAAAGAAUAAGCACCGGCUAACUUCGUG